UUAUUGUUAGCUGGCAUUAUGUAACCUUGUAGCAUUUCAUUCCAUCUUGGUGUAGAGAACGCUGGUUCUGCGUCUGGCUGCUGGGGGUGUCUGCUUGAAUCAGAGCUAUGGCCAUCAGAACAUUCUGACAACAUGCAGCUCAACAAAGAUAAAGAGAGCCAUUGUCUUCCCAUCCAGUGACGGGAGAGACACAUUGCUUGCAAAAGGACUUGUGCCAAGCUAAAGAGCGCUACUCAGCCAGUCAGGGAAUCAGAGGAUCCCCUGGCUCAUGCACUCUGGCUGCUCUGAUAUUCAGAAAGCUGUUGUUCACUGCAGGUGCGCCUCCAACACUUCUGGAAUAGUGAGAAGAAAACGACAAAGACAACUGGAAUAAACAGACUUAAGAUAUGUGCAGUUUCCUUGUGCAGAUAAUACAGGGGGAAAGAAAAAGAAUUUGAAAACUGCAAGGGUCUGACCAGAGAAGUCAAGGGGAGCCUUUGCAUUUCUUUCAAAGAGAUUGGAUCAGGCCCCUUGUGGGAGCCAUAAUGAAGUUUAUUUCCAGUUGAUACAGUUAAUUUACUAUUCUGUGAUUCUAUAUGUAAAAUUAUACUACCACCAUGAGCAAAGGGAAGAUUACACAGUCAGAGCCCAUCUGAAUUUAACAUGAAAGAAAAAUCAUGCUUAGGUACUCUUGCCAAACUCUAAAAGGAAAUAUGUUUGUAACCUUUCUGUGUAUCUUCCUCUCAAUCUGAGGCUAUGUCUCCCCUGUAAAAAAAAAAAAAAAAGUGUGUUUUUUACAUUGAAUAGUUAACCUGAGAUAGUUAGUCCAAGGUAAAAACUACAGUGCCUUGUCUCCGCUAAAGUCUUUCACUGAGAUGGCUAAGAGGUAAACACCUGGUAGUGGAGAGAAUACGAUUGACUUUGAUUAGCUAUAUCAGGGUAAAAACUACCUGUGCCUUAUCUCCAUGAGGAUUUUACAUCGAGAUGAUAAUCUUUAUGUAGAAAUACCCAUUUUUGCAGUGAAGAUAAAGCAGGAGUGACACAGGUAGUUCCUUGUAGGCAGACAUAAGCCAGGCAAGGAGUCUAUCUUCUGAGUAUUAUUCAUGAAUAAACCAAGUUCUUAUUGUUA